GAGGCAAGUGUGGAAGCACACCCUGAGGCAAAUGUUGAAGCAUCAGCCAAGAACCCAGAAAUGGACAAACAGACCUUAAAACUUACUACCAAGAAACAACUAUCAUCUAAUAUACCCUGUUACAAAUGGCCAUCAUCCCCCACACUUGGGUGGCGUCUACCUUCUCCCAUGAAGGCUAU